GCCUUAGUAGAGAAUUGGUAGAUCGGCUCCGCUCAAAACGGAGUGUCAUUGUCGGUUCGAGUCCGACCUGAGGCA
rnacentral:tRNA from 1 species